rnacentral:rRNA from 1 species
GUGUCAGCCGCCGCGGUAAUACAGAGGUCCCAAGCGUUGUUCGGAUUCACUGGGCGUAAAGGGUGCGUAGGCGGUCGGGUAAGUCUGAUGUGAAAUCUCGGAGCUCAACUCCGAAACGGCAUCGGAUACUACACGGCUCGAGGGUUGGAGGGGGGACUGGAAUUCUCGGUGUAGCAGUGAAAUGCGUAGAUAUCGAGAGGAACACCGGUGGCGAAGGCGAGUCCCUGGACAACUCCUGACGCUGAGGCACGAAAGCUAGGGGAGCAAACAGGAUUAGAUACCCUGGUAGUCCUAGCCGUAAACGGUGCGCAUUUGCUGUGAGCGGAAUCGACCCUGCUCGUGGCGAAGCUAACGCGUUAAAUGCGCCGCCUGGGAAGUACGGUCGCAAGAUUAAA